rnacentral:lncRNA from 1 species
CGCAGUGGUUAUCUAGCUGCUCCUCUUCUGCUUAUCCCAUCUGUCCUCCAGUCAGGAAGCCAGAAAAAGGCCAAAUGAUGAAGAGCAAAGUGGAGGAGGCAAGGAGAAAAGGCAGCUGAGCCUGACCUCUUUUAAAUAGCUUGUCCAAAAGUCCUACCCAGAAACCUUUUCUUACACAGUCGUGAGCUGCAUGAUGACGCAUGAAUCACCGACUUCUUGUAUUUACGAUGGUGGUCCCAUAAGAUUAAAUUGGAGCUGAAAAAUCCCUAUUGCUUUGUGAUGUUGUAGCCAUUGUUAGAUCAUAGCACGACACAUUACUCACUGGCUUGUGAUGAAGCUGAUGUGAACAAACCUACUGUGCUGCCAGUCACAUACAAGUAGAGUAAAUACAACUAGUUUUUCAGAAAGUUAACUGUAGAACAGCCUCAAGCAAGUCCUUCAAGAGGUUCCAGAGGAAGAUAUUGUUAUCAUAGACGAUGACAGCUCCAUACAUGCUAUUGCCCCUGAAGUGGGCAAUUGAACCUUCCAGUGUGACAAGAGGUGGCAGUGGAAGACAGUGCUAUUGAGGAUCCUGACCCUACGCAGGCCUAGGCUAAUGGGUCUCUCUCUCACCCAGGCUGGAGUACAGUGGCAUUAUCUCAGCUUGCUGCAAGCUCCGCCUCCUGGGCUCAAGGAAGCCUCUUACCUCAGCCUCCAGAGUAGCUGAGAUUACAGAUGGAGUCUCGCACUGUCACCCAGGCUGAAGUGCAAUGGCACGAUCUCAGCUCACUGCAACUUCCACUUCCCAGAUUCAAGCGACUCUCCUGCCUCAGCUCCUGAGUAGCAGGACCAGGUGGAUCACCUGAGGUCAGGAGAUUGAGA